GGGCCCUUUUAAGACUAGUCCCGUGAGGCUAGAAAAGGGUUGACUGGAGGAGCGAAACCUCUUUGUCUAGCCUCCGGGGCUGGGCAAAGAGGUUUUUUUGU
rfam:Thermoanaerobacterales bacterium 50_218 S_scaffold_148, whole genome shotgun sequence.